rnacentral:rRNA from 1 species
AGUGAACGCUGGCGGUAGGCCUAACACAUGCAAGUCGAACGGCAGCACAGGAGAGCUUGCUCUCUGGGUGGCGAGUGGCGGACGGGUGAGGAAUACAUCGGAAUCUACUCUGUCGUGGGGGAUAACGUAGGGAAACUUACGCUAAUACCGCAUACGACCUACGGGUGAAAGCAGGGGAUCUUCGGACCUUGCGCGAUUGAAUGAGCCGAUGUCGGAUUAGCUAGUUGGCGGGGUAAAGGCCCACCAAGGCGACGAUCCGUAGCUGGUCUGAGAGGAUGAUAAGCCACACUGGAACUGAGACACGGUGCAGACUCCUACGGGAGGCAGCAGUGGGGAAUAUUGGACAAUGGGCGCAAGCCUGAUCCAGCCAUACCGCGUGGGUGAAGAAGGCCUUCGGGUUGUAAAGCCCUUUUGUUGGGAAAGAAAUCCAGCUGGCUAAUACCCGGUUGGGAUGACGGUACCCAAAGAAUAAGCACCGGCUAACUUCGUGCCAGCCGCCGCCGUAA